UUGUUGGUAAGGUAAAAGCUUACCAAGGCUUCGAUCAGUAGCUGGUCUGAGAGGACGACCAGCCACACUGGGACUGAGACACGGCCCAGACUCCUACGGGAGGCAGCAGUGGGGAAUUUUGGACAAUGGGGGCAACCCUGAUCCAGCCAUGCCGCGUGAGUGAAGAAGGCCUUCGGGUUGUAAAGCUCUUUCAGCCGGAACGAAACGGUUACGGAUAAUACCCGUGAUUACUGACGGUACCGGAAGAAGAAGCACCGGCUAACUACGUGCCAGCAGCCGCGGUAAUACGUAGGGUGCAAGCGUUAAUCGGAAUUACUGGGCGUAAAGCGUGCGCAGGUGGUUUUGUAAGUCAGAUGUGAAAGCCCCGGGCUCAACCUGGGAACUGCGUUUGAAACUACAAGACUAGAGUGUGGCAGAGGGGGGUGGAAUUCCGCGUGUAGCAGUGAAAUGCGUAGAGAUGUGGAGGAACACCGAUGGCGAAGGCAGCCCCCUGGGUUAACACUGACACUCAGGCACGAAAGCAUGGGGAGCAAACAGGAUUAGAUACCCUGGUAGUCCAUGCCCUAAACGAUGUCAACUAGUUGUCGGGCCUUUACGGGCUUGGUAACGUAGCUAACGCGUGAAGUUGACCGCCUGGGGAGUACGAUCGCAAGAUUAAAACUCAAAUGAAUUGACGGGGACCCGCACAAGCGGUGGAUUAUGUGGAUUAAUUCGAUGCAACGCGAAAAACCUUACCUACCCUUGACAUGUAUCGAAGCCCGCAGAAAAGCGGGGGUGCCCGAAAGGGAACGAUAACACAGGUGCUGCAUGGCUGUCGUCAGCUCGUGUCGUGAGAUGUUGGGUUAAGUCCCGCAACGAGCGCAACCCUUGUCAUUAAUUGCCAUCAUUUAGUUGGGCACUUUAAUGAGACUGCCGG
rnacentral:rRNA from 1 species